rnacentral:rRNA from 1 species
AGAGUUUGAUCCUGGCUUAGAACGAACGCUGGCGGCGUGCUUAACACAUGCAAGUCGUACGAGAAAGCUCCCUUCGGGGAGUAAGUAAAGUGGCGCACGGGUGAGUAACACAUAAAUAAUCUGCCCCCAGGUCUGGGACAACGGUUCGAAAGGACCGCUAAUACCGGAUAAUACCGCGGACCUUCGGGUCUCGCGGCCAAAGGAGAAUUCUUCGGUCCUCCACCAGGGGAUGAGCCCGCGGCCCAUUAGGUUGUUGGUGAGGUAACGGCUCACCAAGCCGAUGAUGGGUAGCUGAUCUGGGAGGAUGAUCAGCCACACUAGAACUGAGACACGGUCCAGACUCCUACGAAAGGCAGCAGUGGGGAAUAUUGCGCAAUGGGCGAAAGCCUGACGCAGCAACGCCGCGUGGGUGAUGAAGGCUUUUGGGUCGUAAAGCCCUGUCAGAAAAGAAGAAAUGGCAGUUGAGGAAAUACUUCUGCCUUGACGGUACCCUCAAAGGAAGCACCGGCUAACUCCGUGCCAGCAGCCGCGGUAAUACGGGGGGUGCUAGCGUUGUUCGGAAUCACUGGGCGUAAAGCGCGUGUAGGCGGAUAGGUAAGUCAGAUGUGAAAUCCCGAGGCUCAACCUCGGACGUGCAUUUGAAACUGCCUGUCUAGAGUGCGGAAGAGGGAAGGGGAAUUCCCGGUGUAGAGGUGAAAUUCGUAGAUAUCGGGAGGAAUACCGGUGGCGAAGGCGCCUUCCUGGGCCGACACUGACGCUGAGACGCGAAAGCGUGGGGAGCAAACAGGAUUAGAUACCCUGGUAGUCCACGCCGUAAACGAUGAGCACUAAGUGUUGCGGGUAUCGACCCCUGCAGUGCCGCAGCUAACGCAUUAAGUGCUCCGCCUGGAGAGUACGGCCGCAAAGUUAAAACUCAAAGGAAUUGACGAAAACCCGCACAAGCAAUGGAGUAUGUGGUUUAAUUCGAUGCAACACGAAAAACCUUACCUGGACUUAACAUCUCCAAAAACCCCCAAAAAAGAGGACAUGCCCUUCGGAGAACCGGAUGACAAAUACUGCAUAGCUAUCGUCAGCUCGUGUCGUAAAAUGUUGGGUUAAGUCCCGCAACGAGCGCAACCCUUGUCCUUAUUUGCCAUCAUUCAGUUGGGAACUAUAAGGAGACUGCCGGUGUUAAACCGGAGGAAGGUGGGGAUGACGUCAAGUCCUCAUGGCCCUUACGCCCAGGGCUACACACGUACUACAAUGGUCGGCACAAAGAGUAGCAAUGCCGCGAGGUGGAGCCAACCUCAAAAAACCGGCCUCAGUUCGGAUUGCAGUCUGCAACUCGACUGCAUGAAGUCGGAAUCGCUAGUAAUCGCGUAUCAGCAUGACGCGGUGAAUACGUUCCCGGGCCUUGUACACACCGCCCGUCACACCACGAAAGUCGAUUGGACCUGAAAUCGGUGAGCUAACCCUCACGGGAGGCAUCCGCUUAUGGUCUGGUCGGUGAUUGGGGUGAAGUCGUAACAAGGUA